GUACAAAGGUAGCAUAAUCAUUAGUUUUUUAAUUGAAAACUGGAAUGAAUGGUUGGAUGAAAUAUAAACUGUUUCAAAAAAAAUUUAUUAUAAUUUUAUUUUUUAGUAAAAAAGCUAAAAUGUAUUUAAAAGACGAGAAGACCCUAUAAAUCUUAAUAUAAAAUAUACAUAUUAAUUUUUUUUUUAGAAGAUUAUAAAGUAUUUAUAUUUUAUAUUUUAUUGGGGAGAUAGUAAAAUUUAAUAAACUUUUAUUUAAUAAUUACAUUAAUUUAUGAAUUUUUGAUUAAUUAAUAAUGAAUAAUAAAAUAAGUUACUUUAGGGAUAACAGCGUAAUUAUUUUGGAGAGUUCAUAUUGAUAAAAUAGAUUGCGACCUCGAUGUUGGAUUAAGAAAAAAGUUAGGUGUA
rnacentral:rRNA from 1 species